CAUUACACAACCCAGCCUGCAAGCACCAUUGUUUAUCCACUAGAAUCGUUGGCACUGUGCCUGAGAAGAAAUGAUCAAGGUCUCCAGGGCUGCCCUUGCUGACCCCAGGCUCAAGGUGGGCCAAAGAAAACCUGAAAUCAACACGGAGUUUUCAUCGAGUCACACGGCAGGCUCAUCUCACAGCUAUCAUGGUGCAAAUGAGCAGGCUGGACACCCCUCCCCUGCUGACCCGAGCCGUAGUGAUUAGAUGGUUGCCUUGGGGGAAAGGCACGUCCGGCAACCGGGCAUCCCUGUUCCUGCCCUGGGUCAGAAAGUUGUGAAUGGAGAUUCCGCGUGGAGACUGGAACGUGUUACCCAAAAGCCCCACCUCUGAAGAGCCCAGAGGAGGUCCCGAUGAGCAACCUGGUGCGGCCGCUGAAAACUAACUGGGAGAAUCCGGGAGGGGCCAAAAGGAGACAGGAGACUCUAGCCCUUGAUACAUCCUACCAACCUCCCAGAAUCCUUUGCUCUGG